rnacentral:tRNA from 1 species
GGAGGCAUAGCUCAGUUGGUUAGAGCGCACGGUUCACAUCCGUGAGGUCGCGGGUUCAAAUCCCUCUGUCUCCACCA